UACGUAGGGGGCAAGCGUUGUCCGGAUUUAUUGGGCGUAAAGCGCGUGUAGGCGGCCAGAUAGGUCUGCUGUGAAAACUCGAGGCUCAACCUCGAGCUGUCGGCGGAAACCAUCUGGCUAGAGUCCGGAAGAGGAGAGUGGAAUUCCUGGUGUAGCGGUGAAAUGUGCAGAUAUCAGGAAGAACACCAGUGGCGAAGGCGACUAUCUGGGCUGCAACUGACGCUGAGGCGCGAAGGCUAGGGUAGCAAACAGG
rnacentral:rRNA from 1 species